AGAGCGAACGCUGGCGGCAGGCCUAACACAUGCAAGUCGAACGGACUCUUCGGAGUUAGUGGCGGACGGGUGAGUAACACGUGGGAACGUGCCUUUUGGUUCGGAAUAGCUCCUGGAAACGGGUGGUAAUGCCGAAUGUGCCUUCGGGGGAAAGAUUUAUCGCCAUUAGAGCGGCCCGCGUCUGAUUAGCUAGUUGGUGAGGUAAAGGCUCACCAAGGCGACGAUCAGUAGCUGGUCUGAGAGGAUGAUCAGCCGCACGUGGACUGAGACACGGCCCAGACUCCUACGGGAGGCAGCAGUGGGAAUAUUGGACAAUGGGACGAAAGCCUAGAUCCAGCAAUGCCGCGUGAGUGAUGGAAGGUCCGUUAGGUUAGUAAAGCUUACGUUUUACCCGUG
rnacentral:rRNA from 1 species